AGUGAACGCUGGCGGUAGGCCUAACACAUGCAAGUCGAACGGCAGCACAGUAAGAGCUUGCUCUUACGGGGGGCGAGUGGCGGACGGGUGAGGAAUACAUCGUAAUCUACUUUUUCGUGUGGGUUAAGGUAGGUAAACUUACUCUAAUACCGCAGACGACCUACGGGUGAAAGCAGGGGAUCUUCUCACCGGUCGCGAUUGAAUGAGCCGAUGUCGGACUAGUUGGUGGGCGGGGUAAAUGCCCACCCAGGCGACGAUCCGUAGCUGGACUGAGAGGAUGAUAAGCGACCCUGGAACGGAGACACGGACCAGGCUCCUACGGGAGGGAGCAGUGGGGAAUGUUGGGCAAUAGGGGCGAGCAUGGUCCAGCCGUACCGAGUGGGUGGAAAAGGCCUUCGGGUUGUAAAGACCUUUUGUUGGGAAAGAAACGCAGCAGGUUAAUACCCCGCUGUUCUGACGGUAACCAAAGAAUAAGCACCGGCUAACUUCGUG
rnacentral:rRNA from 1 species